AUUGAACGCUGGCGGCAUGCCUUACACAUGCAAGUCGAACGGCAGCACGGGAGCAAUCCUGGUGGCGAGUGGCGAACGGGUGAGUAAUAUAUCGGAACGUGCCCGGUCGUGGGGAUAACGUAGCGAAAGCUACGCUAAUACCGCAUACGAUCUACGGAUGAAAGCGGGGGAUCGCAAGACCUCGCGCGAUUGGAGCGGCCGAUAUCAGAUUAGGUAGUUGGUGAGGUAAAGGCUCACCAAGCCGACGAUCUGUAGCUGGUCUGAGAGGACGACCAGCCACACUGGGACUGAGACACGGCCCAGACUCCUACGGGAGGCAGCAGUGGGGAAUUUUGGGACAAUGGGCGCAAGCCUGAUCCAGCAACGCCGCGUGCAGGAUG
rnacentral:rRNA from 1 species